GAUGAACGCUGGCGGCGUGCCUAAUACAUGCAAGUCGAGCGAACGGACGAGAAGCUUGCUUCUCUGAUGUUAGCGGCGGACGGGUGAGUAACACGUGGAUAACCUACCUAUAAGACUGGGAUAACUUCGGGAAGCCGGGGCUAAUACCGGAUAAUAUUUUGAACCGCAUGGUUCAAAAGUGAAAGACGGUCUUGCUGUCACUUAUAGAUGGAUCCGCGCUGCAUUAGCUAGUUGGUAAGGUAACGGCUUACCAAGGCAACGAUGCAUAGCCGACCUGAGAGGGUGAUCGGCCACACUGGAACUGAGACACGGUCCAGACUCCUACGGGAGGCAGCAGUAGGGAAUCUUCCGCAAUGGGCGAAAGCCUGACGGAGCAACGCCGCGUGAGUGAUGAAGGUCUUCGGAUCGUAAAACUCUGUUAUUAGGGAAGAACAUAUGUGUAAGUAACUGUGCACAUCUUGACGGUACCUAAUCAGAAAGCCACGGCUAACUACGUG
rnacentral:rRNA from 1 species